AUUGAACGCUGGCGGCAUGCUUUACACAUGCAAGUCGAACGGCAGCGCGGGGGCAACCCUGGCGGCGAGUGGCGAACGGGUGAGUAAUGCAUCGGAACGUAUCCUGUAAUGGGGGGAUAACGUAGCGAAAGUUACGCUAAUACCGCAUACGCUCGAGAGAGGAAAGUGGGGGAUCGCAAGACCUCACGUUAUAGGAGCGGCCGAUGUCCGAUUAGCUAGUUGGUGGGGUAAAGCCUACCAAGGCGACGAUCGGUAGCUGGUCUGAGAGGAUGAUCAGCCACACUGGGACUGAGACACGGCCCAGACUCCUACGGGAGGCAGCAGUGGGGAAUUUUGGACAAUGGGCGAAAGCCUGAUCCAGCCAUGCCGCGUGCGGGAA
rnacentral:rRNA from 1 species